rnacentral:tRNA from 1 species
GGAGGGUAAGCGAAUUGGCUAGCAGACUGAUUCGAAAUCAGUUGCCGGGUUUCCGGUUGUGGGUUCGAGUCCCAUGCCCUCCG